ACUCCUACGGGAGGCAGCAGUGGGGAAUAUUGCACAAUGGGGGAAACCCUGAUGCAGCAACGCCGCGUGAGUGAUGAAGGCCUUCGGGUUGUAAAGCUCUGUCUUUGGGGACGAUAAUGACGGUACCCAAGGAGGAAGCCACGGCUAACUACGUGCCAGCAGCCGCGGUAAUACGUAGGUGGCAAGCGUUGUCCGGAUUUACUGGGCGUAAAGGAUGCGUAGGCGGAUUUUUAAGUGGGAUGUGAAAUUCCGAGGCUCAACCUCGGCGCUGCAUUCCAAACUGGAAGUCUAGAGUGCGGGAGAGGAAAGUGGAAUUCCUAGUGUAGCGGUGAAAUGCGUAGAGAUUAGGAAGAACACCAGUGGCGAAGGCGACUUUCUGGACCGUAACUGACGCUGAUGCAUGAAAGCGUGGGGAGCAAACAGGAUUAGAUACCCUGGUAGUC
rnacentral:rRNA from 1 species